CGGUAUUAUAGUUACUUACAGUAAGACUACUGUAGUUUGACUACACAUAAAUAUUAACUCGAUUAUGAGGUUUUGUAGUGGAUGUUGGCUUCAGUUGGUUGAGCUAUGCGAGCGACGUGGCAUCUAGAUGGGAUUUAUCGACCUUGAUAAAGAGUAGUCCUAUGAGAUUUGAGAAACUGAGUCCAUAAGUCUAUGACCAUAGCAGUAUGAUUAAUGGAAAGAUGUUUUUAUUUGAAAUCACUAUUGGAUUUGAGCUUAUCGGAUAUAUUAUAUGACUGAUGAUGGGAUUUGAUGAUUUAUCCAUAAUUUGUCAUUUAGUCGGGACUCAUGAUAGAGAGACUAUAUCAUACAUUAACUACACUAAAAAAUUUUAUUUUGAUUAUGCUGGGUUACCAAUGCAUAUUGCUAGAUAUCACUGA
rnacentral:lncRNA from 1 species